rnacentral:rRNA from 1 species
UACGGGGGGGGCAAGCGUUGUUCGGAAUUACUGGGCGUAAAGGGUUCGUAGGUGGCUUGCUAAGUCAGACGUGAAAUCCCUCGGCUCAACCGGGGAACUGCGUCUGAGACUGGCGAGCUUGAGUGCAGGAGAGGAACGCAGAAUUCCAGGUGUAGCGGUGAAAUGCGUAGAUAUCUGGAGGAAUACCGGUGGCGAAGGGCGGCGUUCUGGACUGCAACUGACACUGAGGAACGAAAGGCCAGGGGAGCAAACGGG